GACGAACCUUGCGAACGUUGUUCGGAAUCACUGGGCUUAAAGGGCGCGUAGGCGGCUUGUCAAGUCAGGGGUGAAAUCCGGCAGCUUAACUGUCGAAGUGCCUUUGAUACUGACGAGCUCGAGGGAAGUAGGGGUCUGUGGAACUUCUGGUGGAGCGGUGAAAUGCGUUGAUAUCAGAAGGAACGCCGGUGGCGAAAGCGACAGACUGGACUUCUACUGACGCUGAGGCGCGAAAGCUAGGGGAGCAAACGGG
rnacentral:rRNA from 1 species